GAUACCGGCCGGUGGCGGGGGAGGGGGUAAGCGCAACGAAGCCCCUUGCAGGUUUGCUGUGCUCACCACGCUGCGGGCUCGCUGCACUCGCCACAGGUUUUAUUUUCACUCUAUGGGUGUCAUGGAAACCCACAAGUGGGAAUAGCCCUUGGCCCCCUGCUGGCAGGGAUCCCAACACCGGUAUGCCGACCGCCAGGAUCCAGGUGGCGCUAUGCUGAUCGCCGGGAUGGUGACUACAUCCCGUCAGAACCAGACCACCGCAGGGUAAAUACAUGAAGCGAGGCCUGACUGCAACAUUAAGCCUCCCCGUGUUCACACUUCUCAAGAAAAAAUCCAGGAGUGUCCCACUUCCCCAGUCCGGGUUCACGGUGGUCAAUCUGAGACUGCUGCUAAUUCCCAUCUCCGCCGCCCUUUGUAGUGAGUUUGUGUGGAUAGAUAAUGAUGGAGGGCUCAUGUCAUACCCCUGGGAUGUGUUUAGGAAAACCUCUCCUUCUCUAAGUAUGAGAUGCCUAGAACCCAUGGAGGCGUCAGUGUCGGAUGGUUCUGCCAGAGGCUGCUGUGUGCUUUCCUUAGAAUCACCAUGAUCAUUCAGGUGCCCAGUCACACAGCGAAGACAGAGAAGGUCUGGUCUACAAGAACAAACUGAAAGAAAAUGGAUAGUAGCUUUUUUAAGUCCACUUGCUGCCCUGAAACAAUGGGAGCGGCCAUUUUAUCUGCUAAACCAAUAUGUAUGACAAUGUACCUCAGUAAUGUCACUAAAUAACUAUCAUUGUAACUAUUGCUUCACCUCACAAAAUGGCCGCUGCUUCGUUGUCAUUGCUAUAUAUUGUCCCUCUGUUUCUGGCACAGGGAACAGGUAUAGAUCUGUUCUUAGAGAGUCUAGUAAAACAAAAGGCCUUUAUACUCAGAGGGCCUGUAUAUUUCAUCAUUCUGAAUUACUCUCAAGCCACGUUAAUUAAAGGCCUGAGCAUAACAUCCAUUUAAUUUAUCUGAGCAAAUGAAAUAAAAUUAUAAGAUUUGUGUUAGACAUGGAUGGGUGGACAGCUAAUCGCCGUCAUGCUGGAUUCCAUAAACAGCCGGCCCGAAGAAAGCCCACAUUGUGUCCCUACUAAGUAAAUGAAGCCAUGGCACAGUGACUGAAGGUUAAAAACCCCCUUGUGGAGUAUGUUUACACUCUGCAAUGGAUCUGCAAAAGACAUACAUCUUACAUCAGACAUCUUAGGGGACUAAGGGCCUAAUUUACUAAGGAUCAUUAAUGGGAUCUCCAGCGCAGUUUACUCAAUGGUCGGGAAACUCUGCAUGCACAGGACCCGUUCUGCACAUGUGCAGAACAUGUCCUGCUAUCGCCUCGCAGGGAUGCAAACGCUUCUGCCUGACUGACAGGCAGAGGCGUUCGGAGGGAGGGGCGAAGGAAAGCAGGCGGCGUGUCGACCCUGUUUUCCAGGAGUGGCGAAACCAAGAACAGUGUCCCAGAUGCAGUUUCCUUGACCUUGCAAGCAGCACUGUGAUGGCAAGCCUGAGUAAGCUCAGUCUUACUCAGCCUGCCAUCGCAAUGUUCAUACCAUAUGCUAUCGCAUCACAAAUGCAGGAAGGAGGUGGUAUGCACUUCCUCCUGCUUUUGCAUUGCAAAGAAUUGCAUUUGCAACUCUGCGAAUAUAUGAUAAGCCACCCACGUGUCAAAACGCCUCUGCUCAGGUGGUCCUACACUACAUAAUAUUAGCCCCUCAUUGGGUCAUUUAUUAAUGUAUUUCUAAACUGAGAGCCAACUUACCUGGAGGCACUCCUACAUACACCAAUAUAGUUCUACAACUAGACCAUCUGGGGAGAUGCGCCUUGACGUGGUGGGUGGCUUAUACUGUAUAUUUGCAAGUGUGCGCGAGUCCUCUGCAUUACAUUAUCAUGUAGAAUGUACUGCUGACCCACUGCAGUGUGCUGGGUGAAUUCUGUCUUUGUUUUAUGCCUUGUCUAGAUUAAUCCCUCCCUUAUAUGAGCAAAUUACAUUUUCUGAACCACUGGUUUAACAGAACAUUUCCUGUGCAGGUGAAGUUACGGCUACAUUAUGUGCAGUUAUAAUGCUGCAGGGGUGAUGUUCUGAAUAACUAUUCAUAGGACUAUAUUUGCUAGUGCAAAUAUCACUAGUGGUCAGACUGCAGAGCUGAGCCUGCUUGCGGACAACAAUCUUGAAUAUUUCCACACUGCGUAUGCUCUUAAACCAAGCGGUGCAGAGACACGCCUUUCUGCUGCCUCCCCACUUGUCACUGGAAUGGCCGGGACUGGGCUGUAAUGGGACACUCUCGUGUAGGCGACGUGCAGUGACGGCGUGCAGAAAGCAGUACGGGCCAUGCAGAGUCACCCAGAAGCAAAUAUACGCCUGCUUUCAGAAUAUACACAUUUAGUUCUGUGCCCACAAUGCAGGGCAUUACAUUGCGUUCAACUCUUUAUCAGCCCUUAAAAGUUUUAUUUUGAGAAUUUGUACAAUUUGUUUUUGUAUGUUUUUUGUAUCCAUAAUGCUAAUAGAGUAAUAUUUAAAAUGAUUAAUUUACCAAUACAUUUACAAUACCAGUAACCUAAUAUAUCUACAGCCAUAUAUUGAUCUUAACAUAUAGCUGUGUGCAGAAUUUAGGACACUUGUUUAUUUGAUUCAAUAACAUAAAAAACAACAAUAAAAAACCCCAACAUUGAC